GUAGGCACAGCAGUGCAUGCCUGUAGUCCCAGCUACUCCUGAGGUGGGAAGAUCACUUGAGCCCAAGAAGUCCUGGACUAUAGUACACGAUGCCAAUCGGGUGUCUGCACUAAGUUCAGCAUCAGUAUGGUGACCUCCUGGGAGUGGGGGACCACCAGGUUGCCUAAGGAUGGGUGAACCAGUCCAGGCAGAAACUGAACAGGUCAAAACUCCUGUGCUGAUCAGUAGUGGGAUUGUGACUGUGAAUAGGCAUUGCACUCCAGCCUGGAUGACAUAGUGAGAUCCUAUCU
rnacentral:SRP_RNA from 10 species